UACAUCCUACGGGGCGCAGCAGUGGGGGAUAUUGCACAAUGGGGGGAACCCUGAUGCAGCGACGCCGCGUGGGUGAAGGAGCGUUUCGGCGCGUAAAGCCCUAUCGGCAGGGAAGAAGAUGACGGUACCUGACCAAGAAGCCCCGGCUAACUACGUGCCCGCAGCCGCGGUAAUACGUAGGGGGCAAGCGUUAUCCGGAUUUACUGGGUUUAAAGGGGGCGCAGACGGCAAUGCAAGCCAGGAGUUAAAGCCCGGAGCCCAACCCCGGGACUGCUCUUGGAACUGCAUGG
rnacentral:rRNA from 1 species